rnacentral:rRNA from 1 species
UACAGAGGUCCCGAGCGUUUGUUCGGAUUCACUGGGCGUAAAGGGUGCGCAGGUGGGUUGGCAAGUUCGAUGUGAAAGCCCCGGGCUUAACCCGGGAAAGGCAUUGAAAACUGCUGAUCUGGAGGAUUGGAGGGGGGACUGGAAUUCUUGGUGUAGCAGUGAAAUGCGUAGAUAUCAAGAGGAACACCAGUGGCGAAGGCGAGUCCCUGGACAAUACCUGACACUGAGGCACGAAAGCCGGGGGAGCAAACAGG